UAUGAACAUAAGUUUCUACUACCUGUUUGAAGAUUUAGGCAAUGGGGCACAUAGAUAAUAUCUAAUGACUUGUGACUAACGAUGUGCAUACAGGAGGCAAUUCAGUUGUCAGAAAGUUGAGGUGCAAAUCAAGAUGACAUUUCGAAUGUUCAGUUUUAAAGAUCGUACCAGAAAGUACUUGAUCACCUGUAACGAUGGUCAGCUAUUUGCUAUCCAAUUUAUGGUUUCAGGUAUGCUUACACACUUGAUUGUAGUGUCAACUAUGUCAAUUAUACAGUUGUAAUACCAAAUGUAUGCGUGCAUCUUAGAUUCAGAUAAUUCAGAAAGUAGCUCAGUAUAUGAAAUGUAACACCGCACCAGUGUUUUCUUGAUCCAUUGAAGAUACAGAUGGAGUUCUCCAGUUUCAGCGAGUUGUGUACAACAUGUAGUGGAAGUGGUGACCUGGUAAUGCAGCACACCUGCAUUCCUGUCACAACGUCUGACAUCUUAUAUGGUUCACUCUCUACUGAAAGCAUCAACUUACCUGUCCCUUUUUCCAUUGAAGUUUUUGGUGCCUACAGAGUUUAGAUGAUUAAACUUGAGGACCAAUAUGAUGCUCAAGCAGCUACAUGUCUGCAUAAUGGCUACAGAUGUUUGGUGCUCAGUUUACCGACAAGAGUUGAUGCAUUUACCGAAACACUAUGUAGAUAGUAGUGCAGUUACAUUACAUGUAAUUUUGAUUAGUGAUUAGUUGCAUGUUAUGUUAAUGGUCAGUAGUUCCUUUUGAGCUCAAGUAGCCUGUAAGAGCUGAUGCACUUCGAGAAAACACUGUCUAGAUAGUAGUGCAGUUAUAUUACAUAAAUUUUACAUCAGUAGUUGGUUUCAUGUUGGUCAUGUAAUCAGUAUGUGCUAAGGACUAUCUCUGGCCUCUUUCCUUUGUGUUGCUUUUUACUAUGAUGCAUGUGAUACAUUUUAGCAG